GUGGGGAAUAUUGCACAAUGGGCGCAAGCCUGAUGCAGCAACGCCGCGUGAGGGAUGACGGCCUUCGGGUUGUAAACCUCUUUUAGUAGGGAAGAAGCGUAAGUGACGGUACCUGCAGAAAAAGCACCGGCUAACUACGUGCCAGCAGCCGCGGUAAUACGUAGGGUGCAAGCGUUGUCCGGAAUUAUUGGGCGUAAAGAGCUCGUAGGCGGCUUGUCGCGUCUGCUGUGAAAACCCGAGGCUCAACCUCGGGCUUGCAGGGGGUACGGGCAGGCUAGAGUGCGGUAGGGGAGAUUGGAAUUCCUGGUGUAGCGGUGGAAUGCGCAGAUAUCAGGAGGAACACCGAUGGCGAAGGCAGAUCUCUGGGCCGUAACUGACGCUGAGGAGCGAAAGCAUGGGGAGCGAACAGGAUUAGAUACCCUAGUAGUCC
rnacentral:rRNA from 1 species